UACAGAGGAGCCAAGCGUUGUCCGGAUUGACUGGGCGUAAAGCGCACGCAGGCGGACGCGCGCGUGGGGUGUGAAAUCUGGCCGCUUAACGGCCAGGCGCCAUCCCAUACGGCGCGACUGGAGUGAUGCAGAGGUCGAUGGAAUUGCCGGUGUAGUGGUGAAAUGCGUAGAGAUCGGGCAGGAACACCCAGGGGGAAACCAGCCGACUGGGCAUCUGCUGACGCUGAGGUGCGAGGAGCGUGGGGAGCGAACAAGGG
rnacentral:rRNA from 1 species